CACGUAGGGCGCGAGCGUUGUCCGGAAUUAUUGGGCGUAAAGAGCUCGUAGGCGGUCUGUCGCGUCUGCUGUGAAAACUCGGGGCUUAGCCCCGGGCCUGCAGUGGGUACGGGCAGACUAGAGUGCGGUAGGGGAGACUGGAAUUCCUGGUGUAGCGGUGAAAUGCGCAGAUAUCAGGAGGAACACCGGUGGCGAAGGCGGGUCUCUGGGCCGUAACUGACGCUGAGGAGCGAAAGCGUGGGGAGCGAACAGG
rnacentral:rRNA from 1 species